GACGAACGCUGGCGGCGUGCUUAACACAUGCAAGUCGAACGGAAAGGCCCUGCUUUUGUGGGGUGCUCGAGUGGCGAACGGGUGCGUAACACGUAAGUAACCUGCCCUUGACUUUGGGAUAACUUCAGGAAACUGGGGCUAAUACAGGAUAGGAGAUCCUGCUGCAUGGUGGGGGUUGGAAAGUUUCGGCUGUUGGGGAUGGACUCGCGGCUUAUCAGCUUGUUGGUGGGGUAGUGGAUUACCAAGGCUUUGACGGGUAGCCGGCCUGAGAGGGUGACCGGCGACAUUGGGACUGCGAGACGGCGCAGACGCGAACGGGAGGCAGCAGUGGGGAAUAUUGCACAAUGGGCGCGAGCCGGAUGCAGCAACGCCGCGGUCGGGAUGACGGCCUUCGGGUAGUAAACCGCUUUCGCCUGUGACGAAGCGUGAGUGACGGUAAUGGGUAAAGAAGCACCGGCUAACUACGUG
rnacentral:rRNA from 1 species